GUGCUAACGUCCGUCGUGAAGAGGGAAACAACCCAGACCGCCAGCUAAGGUCCCAAAGUCAUGGUUAAGUGGGAAACGAUGUGGGAAGGCCCAGACAGCCAGGAUGUUGGCUUAGAAGCAGCCAUCAUUUAAAGAAAGCGUAAUAGCUCACUGGUCGAGUCGGCCUGCGCGGAAGAUGUAACGGGGCUAAACCAUGCACCGAAGCUGCGGCAGCGACGCUGAUGCGUUGUUGGGUAGGGGAGCGUUCUGUAAGCCUGCGAAGGUGUGUCGUGAGGCAUGCUGGAGGUAUCAGAAGUGCGAAUGCUGACAUAAGUAACGAUAAAGCGGGUGAAAAGCCCGCUCGCCGGAAGACCAAGGGUUCCUGUCCAACGUUAAUCGGGGCAGGGUGAGUCGACCCCUAAGGCGAGGCCGAAAGGCGUAGUCGAUGGGAAACGGGUUAAUAUUCCCGUACUUGGUGUUACUGCGAAGGGGGGACGGAGAAGGCUAUGUUGGCCGGGCGACGGUUGUCCCGGUUUAAGCGUGUAGG
rnacentral:rRNA from 1 species